rnacentral:lncRNA from 1 species
ACCCCUGAACUGGUAUAUCUUGCUCUUCUGAUCCGGAACAUCCUGCAACGCGUAACGGGCCAGCUCGUGAAACUCAACAUUGUACUUGUACACAGAAUUGCUGCCCUGCUUCAAGCGCCUGAACUUCUCACGCAUCUCCUCAACAAAACUGGAAGGGAUGUAGUGGGACCUGAAGUCAUGACAAAACUCGUCCCAAGACAUCACCCUGCCACCU